rnacentral:rRNA from 1 species
AUUGAACGCUGGCGGCAUGCUUUACACAUGCAAGUCGAACGGUAACAGGCCGCAAGGUGCUGACGAGUGGCGAACGGGUGAGUAAUGCAUCGGAACGUGCCCAGUCGUGGGGGAUAACUGCUCGAAAGAGCAGCUAAUACCGCAUACGAUCUAUGGAUGAAAGCGGGGGACCGUAAGGCCUCGCGCGAUUGGAGCGGCCGAUGUCAGAUUAGGUAGUUGGUGGGGUAAAGGCUCACCAAGCCAACGAUCUGUAGCUGGUCUGAGAGGACGACCAGCCACACUGGGACUGAGACACGGCCCAGACUCCUACGGGAGGCAGCAGUGGGGAAUUUUGGACAAUGGGGGCAACCCUGAUCCAGCAAUGCCGCGUGCAGGAAGAAGGCCUUCGGGUUGUAAACUGCUUUUGUCAGGGAAGAAAUCCUUUGAACUAAUACUUCGGAGGGAUGACGGUACCUGAAGAAUAAGCACCGGCUAACUACGUGCCAGCCGCCGCGGUAAGAC